UUUCUCGACAUUCUUGUCGAAAAAGUCCAAAAAUUCAUGUUAUAAAAAUGUGCGUAAUUCAAAUUAAAAACUACAUGUACUUGUCAUGAAAAAUAUCAUAAUUGAUUUUAAAAUAAAUAAACAUCGACAAAAUCAACUCCCGUCAGUUCUUCAGUACUUUGAUUCAUAUUAGUGGAUGAACUUAGUUUUAGCACAAAGGUAUUUAUUAUUAUCGAAAUAUCAAGCAAAAUGUGGUGGAAGCAAAAACUCGGGACAGAGUAUAGCUAAUUAUAAGGGUCCCGCUCGAUGGAUACCUUAUAGUGAUCAGUCUGUCCUUCCAUCCAUCUGUCUGCCAGAGAUAACUUUUUUGGGGCAGAUCGUCCCAUUGGCCCAAUCUGGCUCAUACUUCAUCAACAUAUCUAGAGCACCUUUGGGUAAAGGGUGUGCAGUGACCUUGAACCAAGUUUCUAAGUUUAAGGUUAAGGUCAUAGCAGAAUUAUGUGAAAAACAUGUUCAGAUCAUACAUUCUCUCCCCUUGGUCCAAUAUUGCUCAUACAUUGUACUUCACGUACAGAGUGCCUUUAGUCAAAGGUCUAGGUCAUAUUUGACUUCACAAUUUUUUUUCAGAGCAUAUUUAUUCUCCCACGUAGCCCUAUCUAGCUCAUACUUUACAUAAAAAGAUUUUACGAUUUUGGACCAAGUUUCAAGGUCAAAUGUGAAUGUCAUAUCUGAAUGAAAAUAAAGUUUUAGUCCAUAAAGUAUUUCCCACUGGCUUAAUCUGCUCAGAUUACACCCUAAAAUGUAUGUUGGUAAGGGAUAAUUAGUAUGACAUAAAGUUUUAUGCCAACUGGAAAAUUUCUUUUAAGUUAUAUGUCAACGUCAAAGCAAAACCCUCUGAAAUGUUUUUAUCCUACUUUCCAUUAUUUAAGCGGGAAUGGUCACCAUUUCAAUGAUGUCUAAUUUGAUAUUUAUUUGGAAAAGGGGGUAAUACAAACAUACCAGAUUAUAUUAUUUUUCAAAAAGGCAAAAGUUGAUUUUUUAUUAUCAUAAGUGAAGUUCUUUGUAUCAUUAUGUUUAUUUAUUUAGCAAUGAAUUACAUGCUAUUUAAUAAUACACUCAGCAUAAACAAAAAGGGUCAUGGAAGAUAAUGAUGGAAAAAUAUCAUUUUUAUUAGAGAUAUUUUAUGAAAGUAUAGUAUUGUAUAUAGUAUACUAUAGCAAACAUUUUUGAAUAUUUACAUUUGCAUGUUGUUGUAGGUAUUUAUCAAUAAAUAGUUCAACUUUU
rnacentral:sRNA from 1 species